GUUGUUAAAAAUCUGUUAAAUCAUUUCAAAGGUAUCACUCUGGAGGAGUGUACCUGGUCACUGAUUAGUUCCAGGUGUGUUAAUUGGAUCACGUGAUGUGCAUGCAGUGACCUCAUGGGAGAGGAAGGGAAAAAAGACGAGAGUUAACGAGGCAGGCACGAGCUUUUUCAGGAGUUUUUUCAGGAGUUUUGUAGAGUUUUGAGCUCAAACUUUGUAUCUGGAUUAUUUGCAUCUGUAAGAAGACUCGUUUGUUAAUAACAAAACUGAGCAGAAGUAUUGAUGACCUGAGGGAUUUAAAACACGUGGACAGAGUGCAGCUGCUGUGAGCGAGCCCUACGUGACCCAGCAGCUUCGACCUGGAAACAAGAGACUACAACCAGACAGCACUCUGAUUCCCCUGGGAAUGUUGGAUUACCACUGGACCUGAUGAUCCUGAACCAUCACUUUCCUCUUGCUCAUUAAGGAGACCUAUGCAUGGAAGAAGUACUCUGUGGACCUCACAUCCCUGAAAAGUUUUCUUCCAUCUCACAUGAAGACCUGGGAGCACAGUGGAAGUGUAACCUCGCCAACGCAGCAGCAGCUCCAAAUAGCAGGCGUCACAUUCCCGCAGGCUCCCCUGCCAUCUGCAUCUCAACACCCACCAGCAGCCAGCACUCGAGCUAACAAAGAUAAUCGAGCCAAUCCGUGCAGAGCACAAACUGCAGGGUGACCUGUUUCUUCAAAUCCCCAGACCAGGAUCUUUGAAGUGUUCUGCAAAUUCACGACUACAUGGCUGUAAUUAUGCAAGACUGUUGCCGCCUCGCUCCUGUUCCCGUGAGGUUGCCAAGAGGGACGGAGGAAGAAAAUAUUCCUGAGGCACAAGAUGUAGCUGAACACGGAGGCAUCAACCUGAAGUGUUUAUGUACAGGAACACCACACACUUCAUUUGUGCCAGGACUGCUGAUUGGCUCCCUCUCUGAUAAAGGCCGGCUUCCUGCUACCUCGCUCUCCAGAAAACCAUCAAGGAAGCACACACCAAAGUCAACACCCCUCUGUCCUUCAUCAAUCAACUUCAAAAAGACCUCCACCCACUGAACCGUCCAUAACCCAGAAACCUCUGCCUGUUGACUGCUGCCUGAGCUCACACCACGCAUCAUGCACACACGCAUAAACACAUCACACCUAAUACAUGAAAUGCACAUUAUCAAACACACACACACUCUUUUACUCUUUUUUUUCACUACUUUAGCUUGUUUUAUUUCCCUUACUCUUUCUUUUUCUUUACUUUCUAUUUAUUUAUUUACCUCUUUAUUUCUCUGCUUCCUUAUUUCUUUAUGUAUUUAUUUUGGUUCCUUGGUCCACAGUAUCCUGUAACCUCUUGAGUCCUUUCCCUCCCUCCCUCCUCCUUCCACCACAGAUCCACAGUGGAUAGAAAAGGGUAAAAACACUCUGAACUGUCCCACCAGGCUCAAGAAUCACCUUACCAUACCUCUCUCUCUUUCCCUCCACCUCUUCCCAUGCCAGAAGAACUUGCUUUAGUUAGACUGUUGUGUUAGUGCACUCAUCAACACCUCUCAUUACACCAUAUUCACGCACCCACAUGCACACUAGUGAUGUUACAGACUCUACAUACCCCAAAUGUGAUCUUAUCCUUUGUUUAUCUCAUUUACUUUUAUAAUAAAUAACUUUAAGUUUCUUUAAUUCGUUUGUUGACCUCUAAUCGUUUUUGUCAUGUUCACUGAAUGUGAAGCCAAGAGGUUUAAAGCGCCCCCUGUUGGCUGACUGCAGUAUAGCUCAUAAAACCCUGCCUCCCUAGUGUUAACAGAUGGAACAAUUAUUUUAUAGAAGUAGAAGUAGACUUGAUUAGUGGAGACAACCCUCCUAGGUCUGGGGAAAGCCCCUAAUGUUAAGCACCCCUAUAAAUGUCAGUGUCCCAGUUUGGCCACCCAAGUCAAAAAAGUCUGAUUCCGCCCCUGUUGAACUUUCCAUAAGUGUGAAUGUCUGUUUUAAAUCAACAGAAGGAUCUAUUCUGCUGUGGACUGUACCCACCUGAAGGAUGGGCAGAAAUAAAGACACAUUGUUUAAUCUAUAAAGAGUCAUUGUGCCUGAGCUCUGCCUUUAAAAGUUCCUGAGU